rnacentral:rRNA from 1 species
UCCCCUUCGGGGGNCAGAGUGACAGGUGGUGCAUGGUUGUCGUCAGCUCGUGUCGUGAGAUGUGGGUUAAGUCCCGCAACGAGCGCAACCCUUAUUCUUAGUUGCCAGCAUUAAGUUGGGCACUCUAAGGAGACUGCCGGUGACAAACCGGAGGAAGGUGGGGAUGACGUCAAAUCAUCAUGCCCCUUAUGACCUGGGCUACACACGUGCUACAAUGGAUGGUACAAAGGGCUGCAAAACCGUGAGGUCAAGCCAAUCCCAUAAAACCAUUCUCAGUUCGGACNGUAGGCUGCAACUCGCCUACAUGAAGCCGGNAUCGCUAGUAAUCGUGGAUCAGCAUGCCACGGUGAAUACGUUCCCGGGUCUUGUACACACCGCCCGUCACACCACGAGAGUUUGUAACACCCGAAGCCGGUGGGGUAACCUUUUGGAGCCAGCCGUCUAAGGUGGGACAGAUGAUAGGGGUGAA